ensembl:processed_transcript uncharacterized LOC110332893
UCCCUCAAAACAUCUCACAAGUCAGAUGCAGGCAUGAGGACAGAUGGAGAAACGUCACAGAGCCGUCAUUUCUGGAAAUCGACUCAGAGUAGGGGAUCUCAGCUGACAGAGCUAUGCAUUCAAGCUCCCUAACACAGGCUUGAGCAGGUCUAACAUCCUAUUGCUUCUGCAUCCCAUUUCAUUAAAACCCACAUAGUGGGCUAUACUUCCAUGCACUAUAGAGACACGGGCUGAUGCACACAUUUAGAAAAUGGUUCAUAACAUUUUAUAAAAGGAAGGUCAACUCAGAAAUGGUUAGCAAGAGGCAUUAAAUACUUAAGGAAGCAUGCAAAGGCUGAUAUAGCAGGAUGCUAACCAACAUAAUGUGUGUCCCCCUAGAGCAUCUGCAGAGAAUUUAGUAGUUGUCCACUGGGAAAGAAGUGCAUUGAAUGAAAUAUGUUGCAAACAACAUAAAAGGAAGCGUCAUAGAACUACUCAAAUAAUAAUUCCUAUUUGUAUUCAUUGCCAUGAAAAUAUGCCUGUCAUAUAUUUUCAAAUAAAACAAACUACAAAAACUAUGU